rnacentral:piRNA from 1 species
UCAACCNGGAGCAGAAAAGGAUCUUGGUC